rnacentral:rRNA from 1 species
GCAAGUCGAGCGGUAGCACAGAGAGCUUGCUCUCGGGUGACGAGCGGCGGACGGGUGAGUAAUGUCUGGGAAACUGCCUGAUGGAGGGGGAUAACUACUGGAAACGGUAGCUAAUACCGCAUAACGUCGCAAGACCAAAGUGGGGGACCUUCGGGCCUCAUGCCAUCAGAUGUGCCCAGAUGGGAUUAGCUAGUAGGUGGGGUAACGGCUCACCUAGGCGACGAUCCCUAGCUGGUCUGAGAGGAUGACCAGCCACACUGGAACUGAGACACGGUCCAGACUCCUACGGGAGGCAGCAGUGGGGAAUAUUGCACAAUGGGCGCAAGCCUGAUGCAGCCAUGCCGCGUGUGUGAAGAAGGCCUUCGGGUUGUAAAGCACUUUCAGCGGGGAGGAAGGCGGUGAGGUUAAUAACCUCAUCGAUUGACGUUACCCGCAGAAGAAGCACCGGCUAACUCCGUGCCAGCAGCCGCGGUAAUACGGAGGGUGCAAGCGUUAAUCGGAAUUACUGGGCGUAAAGCGCACGCAGGCGGUCUGUCAAGUCGGAUGUGAAAUCCCCGGGCUCAACCUGGGAACUGCAUUCGAAACUGGCAGGCUAGAGUCUUGUAGAGGGGGGUAGAAUUCCAGGUGUAGCGGUGAAAUGCGUAGAGAUCUGGAGGAAUACCGGUGGCGAAGGCGGCCCCCUGGACAAAGACUGACGCUCAGGUGCGAAAGCGUGGGGAGCAAACAGGAUUAGAUACCCUGGUAGUCCACGCUGUAAACGAUGUCGAUUUGGAGGUUGUGCCCUUGAGGCGUGGCUUCCGGAGCUAACGCGUUAAAUCGACCGCCUGGGGAGUACGGCCGCAAGGUUAAAACUCAAAUGAAUUGACGGGGGCCCGCACAAGCGGUGGAGCAUGUGGUUUAAUUCGAUGCAACGCGAAGAACCUUACCUGGUCUUGACAUCCACAGAACUUUCCAGAGAUGGAUUGGUGCCUUCGGGAACUGUGAGACAGGUGCUGCAUGGCUGUCGUCAGCUCGUGUUGUGAAAUGUUGGGUUAAGUCCCGCAACGAGCGCAACCCUUAUCCUUUGUUGCCAGCGGUUAGGCCGGGAACUCAAAGGAGACUGCCAGUGAUAAACUGGAGGAAGGUGGGGAUGACGUCAAGUCAUCAUGGCCCUUACGACCAGGGCUACACACGUGCUACAAUGGCAUAUACAAAGAGAAGCGACCUCGCGAGAGCAAGCGGACCUCAUAAAGUAUGUCGUAGUCCGGAUUGGAGUCUGCAACUCGACUCCAUGAAGUCGGAAUCGCUAGUAAUCGUAGAUCAGAAUGCUACGGUGAAUACGUUCCCGGGCCUUGUACACACCGCCCGUCACACCAUGGGAGUGGGUGCAAAAGAAGUAGGUAGCUUAACCUUCGGGAGG